rnacentral:rRNA from 1 species
UACGUAGGGGGCUAGCGUUGCUCGGAAUGACUGGGCGUAAAGGGCGCGUAGGCGGACGGCUUUGUCGGGCGUGAAAUUCCAGGGCUUAACCUUGGGGCUGCGUUCGAGACGGGUUGUCUAGAGUUUGGAAGAGGGUCGUGGAAUUCCCAGUGUAGAGGUGAAAUUCGUAGAUAUUGGGAAGAACACCGGUGGCGAAGGCGGCGACCUGGUCCUUGACUGACGCUGAGGCGCGAAAGCGUGGGGAGCAAACAGG